UUAUCUAGUCAAAGUCGUACUGCAUUGAAUUAAUCUGUGUAUUGAUAUGUGUAAUGAAAUAUUUUUCUUGGAUUUAUAAAAGCAAAAUAGGCUUGGCAUCAUUACACCUCACGGUUUAUAGCUUUGGAAGAUGACAAUUUUGCUGCCACAUUUACUAAGUAAAUGUCACGGCCAUACACACACCACCUUGGUCAAUGAGAAAUUCAACACACAUUGAGAAAAGACACAGUAUGCCACAUGUGUUUAGAAUGAAGUUUUACAGCAGUUGGCUUAUUGCACGUGGAGAUUAUAGGCAUCAAUUUUUGUCAACAUGAAACACCAAUUGGCAUAGCUACAUCCAAGCACAGGGAAUUGAUUGAAGAAAAAUGGCAUAGCUACAUCCAAGCACAGGGAAUUGAUUGAAGAAAAAUGAGGAAGCUAGAUGCUAGGGGAGGAGACAAGCCAAAAGCCUAUGGUCAGAAGGAGACAACAGAAGGAUUUGGAGAUCUCUCUUAAAUUCUUCCUCUCGGCAAUUUGAAAGAUCCAUCCUCUUUUCCUCUUUUCCCGUGGAGUAUAGCAAGAGUAUUACAGAGAUCAUGGCUGGAUGAAAGAAGAAUUGGUGCUGGUGUGAGAAUAUACGUCCAAAGAGCUAGAGGAGGGAAGCAAAACUGUAUUUGAUUCUUGAAUCACUGCUGGAAGAAGACACAAGACCAAGAGGCAGCUACAGCCCCUUCCACCCUUUUCACUUUGUUUGGUUUCAUUUAAAAUGAAGAGAAACGUGAAUCAUUCAUGCAGUACCUAUUUUGGUUUCUUAGAAUAAGAUUCCUUUUGUUAUUAUUAAGAGAAGAAGUGAUUGAUUUGAAAUGGAAAGUAAGGAAGGUGGAGCCGUAUGAAGAAUGCUUGGAGAAGAAGACAAAAACUUUCAAAGAGCAUCUCUUGGAGAAGGAAUUUUCGUGAAUGGAUGCAAGUUUUUUUUAGAAUUCUUAAACAAAGUGGUUCCUUUCAUGAGAUUCAAAAGAAGUGGCCCACGGCCCCUUUAUUGCUCUUCUUUAUUCCUUUUGGAAUGGAUGACUAGAUGGAGUAGUUCACGUAGAUAGCUUCCAAUAUUUGAUUGCAUUUCUUAUUCUAUUUGGAAUUGGACAUGACUAUAAUGGAAUAAUGGUUGCACGUUUA